rnacentral:rRNA from 1 species
GCACAGCCUCUCGGAGCAGAACCGCGGGGGAUGUCGCCCUAAUGGUUGUGUACCCCUUUUUUCAGGGAAGAAGAUCUGACGGUACCUGAGGAAUAAGCCUCGGCUAACUCCGUGCCAGCAGCCGCGGUAAUACGGAGGAGGCAAGCGUUAUCCGGAAUUAUUGGGCGUAAAGCGUCCGUAGGUGGUUAUUCAAGUCUGCUGUCAAAGCGUGGGGCUUAACUCCAUAGAGGCAGUGGAAACUGGAUGACUUGAGUGCGGUAGGGGUCGAGGGAAUUCCCAGUGUAGCGGUGAAAUGCGUAGAUAUUGGGAAGAACACCAGUGGCGAAAGCGCUCGACUGGGCCUGCACUGACACUGAGGGACGAAAGCUAGGGGAGCG